GAUGAAGAACGCAGCGAAAUGCGAUAAGUAGUGUGAAUUGCAGAAUUCAGUGAAUCAUCGAAACUUUGAACGCACAUUGCGCCCCUUGGUAUCCCGAGGGGCAUGCCUGUUCGAGCGUCAUUUCACCACUCAAGCCUGGCUUGGUGUUGGGCGACGUCCUCUUUGGGGACGCGCCUCGAAACGCUCGGCGGCGUGGCACCGGCUUUAAGCGUAGCAGAAUCUUUCGCUUUGGAAGUCGGGGCCCCGUCUGCCGGAAGACCUGCUCGCAAGGUUGACCUCGGAUCAGGCAGGGAUACCCGCUGAACUUAAGCAUAUCAAUAAGCGGAGGA
rnacentral:misc_RNA from 1 species